rnacentral:misc_RNA from 1 species
GUAUUAAAUUUCACGCUCCGUAUAGAAGCUCGAUAGACAUGCUUUCAAACGACAGGCAUAUAUUAAAAGGCGGUCUCCCACCUAAGGUGCACAGGGGAUGUGUGUAUACAUUCGUUUAUGAUCUCCCCGGAGGCAACAAUGCACCUCCGAGUGCCAAACAAACUGAGUAGAGUAGAGGCCCUUCUAUUUAAAAAGAGUACCUCGAUUGAUUUCAAUAAUGAUCCUUCCGCAGGUUCACCUACGGAAA